rnacentral:tRNA from 1 species
GGCUGAGUAGCUCAGUUGGUAGAGUACUUGCCUUGCAUGCACAAAGCCCUGGGUUCAAUCCCCAGCUCUGCAA